CUGGGAGGAAAAGGAAAGUGAGACCCAGGGCAGGGGUGGGCUGCCCCUCCUCCCACCUCCUCCUCAGCGCUUCCUGCUGGGGCAACUCUUGAGGCUACAUGGGGAGCCUGAGUUUGUCCCUGGGGGCUGGGGCCUGAGCCGGCCUGCGGUCUGCCUGCCAGACUGGGGGCACCUCUGGGCCUGCCUGUGGGUCUGGUUCCCUCACCCAGGCUCUCCUGGGAAAGCAGAGGUAAGGAGGGCCUGCCCAGAGUACUUUCGGGCAGCAAUGACUUCAGUGUUUGUCCCUAAAAUAAAUGCACCACAGACAAGACAGUGUGGUCAGGGGCUGAGGACUUACUGUAAAUACCAGCCCCGGGCUUCCUAUUUCUGUUUCUCUGACUCCCCGGGGGGCAGGCGCCGGCCAGCUCCUUUCUAGCGCAUCUCUUCUUACUGCUGCAUCCAAGGAAAGGGCUCGGCCUGGACAUUCCUCAUUGGAAGGUCCCAGGAACACUUUGAGGGUUUGGAGCAGGAACCCCGCUCUCCCAGGGGGGUUAUGCUCAGGGUCUGUCUUCCCCCAAGAAAGGGGCACAAAGCCUAAGUGUGAGGAGCUGUGCUGUGUAUAUUCUGAGAGCCUCACAACAAACCCCAAACAUGGGAGAGCAAACAAUGACAUCUACGAUGCAAGCAUAUGAUAGACACUUUCUUAAAGGCUGUACCUGGUUCAUCACAUACAGUUCUCACCAGAGUCAUAGGGUGGGAAUCAAGACAAGAAUGUAAAGAUCCUUGCCUAAGGGCACCCCGUCUGUAAACUGCAAGUUCAACGCCAGCAGCCUGGCUCCAGACCUGCAUUCUUAACUCCUGCACUGUGCAGUGAAGAUAAGAACGACCUCAUCCUGCAGACGGAGGCAAGCUGUCCAAAGAGAGGACCCUCACUGCAGCAGUCCUAAAGUGCAUCCACAUUCCAGAAAAUAACAACUCAAUUCUCCAGACAAGUGUGCUCAUCUUAUUUUUAAAGAGACACCCACGUCACUGCUAAAGGAACAUCAAAUUUAUGAUUGUAUCUGUGAACUCAGUUUUAUAAAACAAUGCGUUGACCAUUAAGAAAUGGAAAUGGCUAACAGACUGGAAAAAUCAUCUUCACUGGAAUAAAAUAAGUGACAAGUCAUUGAAAAGUGAGACCUUAUUUUACCCUCUCAGACAAACCCUGUGAUGGAGGUCUAAGUGGGUCACUUAAGGGACUGUUAUCAAAAGCCUUAGCAUUUUUAUUCUUAUGCAUCAAGCAAUUCUUUGGUUGAGCGUGUCCACUUAAGGAAACAUUCAAAAACAAAGGUUUUAUGGACAGAGAGGUUCAUCACAGUUUUAGUUAAUACUAAAAAAAUAUAGAAAAUAGAAAUAUUCUGUAAAAGAAGGUUGGUUAAAGAAAUGAUGUUAUGUCCAGGAGGGAAGUGGUUAAGUGUAUAGACUUAGACAAAACCUCCUCUGGUUACACCUUCUAUCACAGUGCUAAGUGCUUUGUGUGUCUUGAGCCAUCCAGUCCUCCCAACGGAAGCCGUGGGAGGCAGGAGCACGGGGGAAAGUGCUCAAUGAAUGAUCAAUUAUGCCUUGUGAAAUAAGUCGGGCAGGGAAAGACAAACACCAUAUGACAUCCCUUGUAUGUGGAAUCCAAAAAAAAAAAAAAAAAACCCAACAAACUUA